AGGAUGGAGGAAAGUCCGUACUCCUUUCUUUGUUUUAACUUUUGGAGCUUAAUAAGCAGAAAGCUAAGGUAAAGAAAUAAAAGGUACUCUGGAAAUCAGAGAUGGGUGUGAACUCAUGGAAAGGGCAACAGAAAAUAAACCGCCCUUCGACAAGCUCAGGGCAAGCCCCUGGUUUAUUGAAGAGUAAGGGUGAAAAGGUGUCCUGCACCAGAAACGGUACAGGGUUAGUUUAAGAGACCACCGAUUCGCAGAGCGAUCUGCGGAUGCUAUGUAACCCCUGCCUGGAGCAACCUCAAAAUUGGUUGAGGGCAUAGAUAAAUAAUUGUCUUAAUUCCCUAACGGGAGGAUACAGAAUGCGGCUUAUGGACUGGUUUUAUUG
rnacentral:RNase_P_RNA from 1 species